AUGUAGCGAGCUGAGUGGGGAGGAGAGAGGACAGAGAGCCUGCUUGCUUUAAAGGAACCAACCGGACAGGAGCCGCUUACACUCGUGUAAGCGGCUCCUCUCCUCUCCAGCUUUGCUCCUUUAAAGAAGCAGGCUCUCUGUCCCUCUCUCCUCCCCACUCAGCGGCUCUUAUC